UGGGGAAUAUUGCGCAAUGGGCGAAAGCCUGACGCAGCGACGCCGCGUGAGGGAUGAAGGCCUUCGGGUUGUAAACCUCUUUCAGCAGGGACGAAGCGAAAGUGACGGUACCUGCAGAAGAAGCACCGGCUAACUACGUGCCAGCAGCCGCGGUAAUACGUAGGGUGCAAGCGUUGUCCGGAUUUAUUGGGCGUAAAGAGCUCGUAGGCGGUCUGUCGCGUCGGAUGUGAAAACCCAGGGCUCAACCCUGGGCCUGCAUUCGAUACGGGCAGACUAGAGUAUGGCAGGGGAGACUGGAAUUCCUGGUGUAGCGGUGAAAUGCGCAGAUAUCAGGAGGAACACCGGUGGCGAAGGCGGGUCUCUGGGCCAAAACUGACGCUGAGGAGCGAAAGCGUGGGGAGCGAACAGGAUUAGAUACCCCCGUAGUCC
rnacentral:rRNA from 1 species